rnacentral:rRNA from 1 species
GACGUAGGGCGCAAGCGUUGUUCGGAUUUACUGGGCGUAAAGGGCGCGUAGGCGGCGCGGUAAGUCACUUGUGAAAUCUCUGAGCUUAACUCAGAACGGCCAAGUGAUACUGCAGUGCUAGAGUGUGGAAGGGGCAAUCGGAAUUCUUGGUGUAGCGGUGAAAUGCGUAGAUAUCAAGAGGAACACCUGAGGUGAAGACGGGUUGCUGGGCCAACACUGACGCUGAGGCGCGAAAGCCAGGGGAGCAAACGGG